UUCCUACGGGGGGCAGCAGUGGGGAAUAUUGCACAAUGGGGGAAACCCUGAUGCAGCGACGCCGCGUGAGGGAAGAAGGUUUUCGGAUUGUAAACCUCUGUCUUUGGUGACGAAAGAUGACGGUAGCCAAAGAGGAAGCUACGGUUAACUACGUGCCAGCAGCCGCGGUAAUACGUAGGGGGCAAGCGUUAUCCGGAUUUACUGGGUGUAAAGGGAGCGUAGACGGCGCGGCAAGUCUGAAGUGAAAGGCAGGGGCUUAACCCCUGAACUGCUUUGGAAACUGCCAUGC
rnacentral:rRNA from 1 species